rnacentral:rRNA from 1 species
AUAUUGCAGGGUUCCUCCAUGCAUAAGACCGGGUUCGGAUGGUAAACCGCUUUGGUAGGGAAAGACUGGGCCCAAUCGAAUACGAGGGGCCAAUGACGGUACCGUAACAAUAAGCCCCGGCUAACUACGUGCCAGCAGCCGCGGUAAUACGUAGGGGGCAAGCGUUAUUCGGAAUUACUGGGCGUAAAGGGUGCGCAGGCGGUCAUAUAAGACAAAUGUGAAAUCCCCGGGCUCAACCUGGAAACGGCUUAAAUGAUGGUUUAGUUAAAUUCCGGAAAAGGGGGAUGAAAUCCCGGUUGUACCAUUAAAAGGCUUAAAUUUUCGAAGAAACACCGAGGGCAAAGGCAAUCCCCUGGCCCUGAACUGACCCUCAUGCACAAAAGCUUGGGAAGCAAACAGGAUAAAAUACCCUGGUAUCCCACCCCCUAAACAAUAUCAACUGGUGGUGGGGAAUCCCCUGACUCAGUAACAAACCUAACGCAUUACGUCGACCGACUGUGGAGUACGGCCGAAACUCAAA